rnacentral:rRNA from 1 species
GCUUACACAUGCAAGUCGUACGAGAACACCUUAGCUUGCUAGGGUAAGUAAAGUGGCGCACGGGUGAGUAACGCGUGGGUAAUCUUCCUUCGAAUUGGGGAUAACGUUGCGAAAGCGACGCUAAUACCGAAUAACAUCCAUUUAUCUUUGGAUUUUUGGAUCAAAGGUGGCCUCUACAGGUAAGCUACUGUUUGAAGAUGAGCCCGCGUACCAUUAGCUUGUUGGUGGGGUAAUGGCCUACCAAGGCAACGAUGGUUAGCUGGUCUGAGAGGAUGAUCAGCCACACUGGAACUGACACACGGUCCAGACUCCUACGGGAGGCAGCAGUGAGGAAUUUUGCGCAAUGGGCGAAAGCCUGACGCAGCAACGCCGCGUGAGUGAUGAAGGCCCUCGGGUCGUAAAGCUCUGUCAAGUGGGAAGAACCUGCAGUAUGUCAAUACCAUAUUGCAUUGACGGUACCACUGAAGGAAGCACCGGCUAACUCCGUGCCAGCAGCCGCGGUAAUACGGGGGGUGCAAGCGUUAUUCGGAAUCAUUGGGCGUAAAGGGCACGUAGGCGGCUUGGUAAGUCAGUUGUGAAAGCCCGGGGCUUAACCCCGGAAGUGCGAUUGAUACUGCCGAGCUUGAGUAUGGGAGAGGGAAGUGGAAUUCCUGGUGUAGAGGUGAAAUUCGUAGAUAUCAGGAGGAACACCGGUGGCGAAGGCGACUUCCUGGACCA